UGCGGGGUGGAGCAGUCUGGUAGCUCGUCGGGCUCAUAACCCGGAGGUCGUAGGUUCAAAUCCUGCCCCCGCGA
rnacentral:tRNA from 1 species